rnacentral:lncRNA from 1 species
AUUAAACAGGGGUCCUGGAUUAUCAUAUAUCUUGAGUAAAUUUUAAUGAUGAUUUGGUUCUGUAGGGGAACAAUCUGUUGGACGAGAGGACGUUGAGCAGGAUUCUGUGCAUUCCGGUUCUUUAUCGCCGUGAGGGCGGGUGAUUGGUUGUCUAAAUUUUCAACAAAGGUAAGGAUCCUUGUAUGCCAAUCCUGCAUGAUAUAAUAUUUUUAUAUCUAGAUAUGUAUGAUAUGCUAUAAUCCAGAUAAAUCAAAAAUAGUUUUAUAUUAAAUUAUAUUUUGAUCGUGUUGGCUUGUGGUUGAUAUUAUGAUCGUAUUCGCUUGUGGUUGGUAUUAUGAUGGAUGCAUGCAUGCGCAUAACUUACACCUACAUAAUUGGACUGAUGGAUGUGGUGCUCUAAACUAACUAUGUGAUAUUGGUUGCCCCGUCACGGGCUGGAAACGUGACCGUGGUUAGUUUAAAGCCGAAAAUAAAUAUAAAUGAAUUGAUGUGUGGAUGUAAACUGGAUUGUAUGAGAAGGGACUUUGGGUUUAUCUUGUUAUUAUGGCAGGCCCCGUCACAGGCUGAAAAAUGUGGUACUUUGGUAGGCCCCCUCACA